UACGGAGGAUGCAAGCGUUAUCCGGAAUGAUUGGGCGUAAAGCGUCCGCAGGUGGCUAUGUAAGUCUGCUGUUAAAGAGUCUAGCUCAACUAGAUAAGAGCAGUGGAAACUACAAGGCUAGAGUACGUUCGGGGCAGAGGGAAUUCCUGGUUUAGCGGUGAAAUGCGUAGAGAUCAGGAAGAACACCAGUGGCGAAGGCGCUCUGCUAGGCCGUAACUGACACUGAGGGACGAAAGCUAGGGGAGCGAAUGGG
rnacentral:rRNA from 1 species